CUAAUCCGGUCCAACUCUUAGGAUCCCUUAUCCUAUUGAGCUCAAGAGUCCUUAGGGGCCAACAUCUAAUUGAUUUUAGAUUAAAGUUUAAGUCAAUGCAGUAUGCAGGAUGAUGGUUUAUGGGCCAAAGAAGGGUGAUGAAAUCCUCACCUUAUCUUGUUUAGGGUUUGUGCCCUUAAGAUGUUUUAUGGAAUUAUGUAAUGCAAGAAGAAAAGGUGGCCAGAUUUGGAGGUG
rnacentral:lncRNA from 1 species